rnacentral:rRNA from 1 species
AGAGUUUGAUCCUGGCUCAGAUUGAACGCUGGCGGCAUGCUUUACACAUGCAAGUCGGACGGCAGCACAGGGAAGCUUGCUUCUCGGGUGGCGAGUGGCGAACGGGUGAGUAACAUAUCGGAACGUACCGGGUAGCGGGGGAUAACUGAUCGAAAGAUCAGCUAAUACCGCAUACGUCUUGAGAGGGAAAGCAGGGGACCUUCGGGCCUUGCGCUAUCCGAGCGGCCGAUAUCUGAUUAGCUGGUUGGCGGGGUAAAGGCCCACCAAGGCGACGAUCAGUAGCGGGUCUGAGAGGAUGAUCCGCCACACUGGGACUGAGACACGGCCCAGACUCCUACGGGAGGCAGCAGUGGGGAAUUUUGGACAAUGGGCGCAAGCCUGAUCCAGCCAUGCCGCGUGUCUGAAGAAGGCCUUCGGGUUGUAAAGGACUUUUGUCAGGGAAGAAAAGGCCGUUGCCAAUAUCGGCGGCCGAUGACGGUACCUGAAGAAUAAGCACCGGCUAACUACGUGCCAGCAGCCGCGGUAAUACGUAGGGUGCCAGCGUUAAUCGGAAUUACUGGGCGUAAAGCGGGCGCAGACGGUUACUUAAGCAGGAUGUGAAAUCCCCGGGCUCAACCCGGGAACUGCGUUCUGAACUGGGUGACUCGAGUGUGUCAGAGGGAGGUGGAAUUCCACGUGUAGCAGUGAAAUGCGUAGAGAUGUGGAGGAAUACCGAUGGCGAAGGCAGCCUCCUGGGAUAACACUGACGUUCAUGUCCGAAAGCGUGGGUAGCAAACAGGAUUAGAUACCCUGGUAGUCCACGCCCUAAACGAUGUCAAUUAGCUGUUGGGCAACUUGAUUGCUUGGUAGCGUAGCUAACGCGUGAAAUUGACCGCCUGGGGAGUACGGUCGCAAGAUUAAAACUCAAAGGAAUUGACGGGGACCCGCACAAGCGGUGGAUGAUGUGGAUUAAUUCGAUGCAACGCGAAGAACCUUACCUGGUUUUGACAUGUGCGGAAUCCUCCGGAGACGGAGGAGUGCCUUCGGGAGCCGUAACACAGGUGCUGCAUGGCUGUCGUCAGCUCGUGUCGUGAGAUGUUGGGUUAAGUCCCGCAACGAGCGCAACCCUUGUCAUUAGUUGCCAUCAUUCGGUUGGGCACUCUAAUGAGACUGCCGGUGACAAGCCGGAGGAAGGUGGGGAUGACGUCAAGUCCUCAUGGCCCUUAUGACCAGGGCUUCACACGUCAUACAAUGGUCGGUACAGAGGGUAGCCAAGCCGCGAGGCGGAGCCAAUCUCACAAAACCGAUCGUAGUCCGGAUUGCACUCUGCAACUCGAGUGCAUGAAGUCGGAAUCGCUAGUAAUCGCAGGUCAGCAUACUGCGGUGAAUACGUUCCCGGGUCUUGUACACACCGCCCGUCACACCAUGGGAGUGGGGGAUACCAGAAGUAGGUAGGGUAACCGCAAGGAGUCCGCUUACCACGGUAUGCUUCAUGACUGGGGUGAAGUCGUAACAAGGUAGCCGUAGGGGAACCUGCGGCUGGAUCACCU